UCUCUAAAUUCAUCUCCAUUUUCUCCUUCUUGCUCUGCUUUCUCUCUACCCUUGCACUCAUUUGAACCGUUGAAAUUUCAAAUAGGUGGUGUUCUUUCGCUCACGGAGUUGAGAGCUUCCCUUCUAUCCGAUUAGAUUUCUAUUUGGACGGAUAAGUGGUUGUAGGGCACUGUUUGGGUUUUCUCUGUGAAGGUACGAUUAGUGCACUCUAGUUGACUAUACUGCUCAACUUCAAGAGAAAGAUGAGGUUUCUUUGGAGGCAACAUUGGAGAGAAAUGAAGAUGAUGCUGCAGCUUAGACUCACUAGGAAUUCUUAGUUCUCUUAUGUCAUUUUGAAGAACCUUGUUAUGUUUUAAGUUUCAAAUUCUGGACAUAUUUUGGAAUACUCUAGUGCUUGAAGUUUUAAUUUCUUAGUAAAUUCUGGAAGACUGUAAUCCUAUAAUACUUUAAGUACAUCUCUUAACUGCUUUCUAAUAU